rnacentral:lncRNA from 1 species
UAAUUUUUAAAGACUGAAUGGGAGAGCCAGCAUUCCUAAAAUCAUUAAGAAAUAAGAGGAAAAACGCCAGAUACCUAAAUCCUUGUGUGUGUGUGUGUGUUUGUGUAUGUGUGUGUGCUUGUGUGUUUGUGUGUGCAUAUGUGUUUGUAUGUGUGUGUUUGUGUGUGUGUGCUUGUGUGUUUGUGUGUGUGCAUGUGUGUAUGUAUGUGUGCAUGUGUGUUUGUGUGUGUGCAUGAGUGUGUGUGUUCGUGUGUAUGUGUGUGUGUAUGUGUGUAUGUAUGUGCAUGUGUGUGUGCAUGUGUGUGUGCGCAUGUGUGAGCCAGAGGUUGACACCAAGUGUCUUCCUUACUUGCUAUCCACCUUAGAUUUUAAAGAUUUAUUUAUUUAUUAUAUAUAAGCACACUGUAGCUGUCUUCAGAUACACCAGAAGAGGGCAUCAGAUCCCAUCACAGAUGGUUGUGAGCCACCAUGUGGUUGCUGGGAUUUGAACUCAGAACCUCUGGCAGAGCAGUCAGUGCUCUUAACCGCUGAGCCAUCUCUCCAACCCCCACCUUAGAUUUUAAGACAGGAGCUCACCCUCCCAUCUCUACUCCCCCAAACCUGAGAUUAUAGGGGUGCCACCACACCAGACACCUAUGGUGCUGAGGGCCUGGCUGCUCCAUCUCCCCGGCCUCCUGAAUCCAUUUUUAUUUUCUCACGGAUGCCAUGUGACCUGGAGGCCUUCUCUCCCUCCCGCCCAGUCUCUGGCGAGGGACCUGACUGAAGCUGAGGAGCAAUACGCCCACGCUCUGCGCGGCCACUUGCACAACGUUGACCAGCUCUUGACCCUGCAACGACGCAGGCUCAGCCUCCUGGAGGAAAAUUACAACAUGGAGCUGGAG